rnacentral:misc_RNA from 1 species
GAUGAAGAACGUAGCAAAAUGCGAUACUUGGUGUGAAUUGCAGAAUCCCGUGAACCAUCGAGUUUUUGAACGCAAGUUGCGCCCGAAGCCAUUCGGCUGAGGGCACGUCUGCCUGGGCGUCACGCAUCGCGUCGCUCCCACCAUACCUUCCUUCGGGAUUGCGGGGGGCGGAUGAUGGCCUCCCGUGCGCCUCGCCGCGCGGUUGGUAUAAAUGCCAAGUCCUCGGCGACGCACGCCACGACAAUCGGUGGUUGCGAAACCUCGGUUGCCCGUCGUGUGCGGUCGUCGCGCAUCGAGGGCUCGAAAAAAUUGCCGAGUUCCGGCUCGGCUUUCAACGCGACCCCAGGUCAGGCGGGGUUACCCGCUGAAUUUAAGCAUAUCAAUAAGCGGAGGA